UGGGGAAUAUUGCACAAUGGGCGAAAGCCUGAUGCAGCGACGCCGCGUGGAUGAAGAAGGCCGACAGGUUGUAAAGUUCUUUUGCUAGGGGAGAAUAAGUGAGGGAGGGAAUGCCCUCAUGAUGACAAGGACUAGCGAAUAAGCCCCGGCCAACUACGUGCCAGCAGCCGCGGUAACACGUAGGGGGCGAGCGUUGUUCGGAAUUACUGGGCGUAAAGGGCAUGUAGGCGGCUUGGUAAGCCUGGCGUGAAAGACUGCAGCUUAACUGUAGGGAUGCGUUGGGAACUGCUUAGCUUGAGUUACGGAGAGGGAGCUGGAAUUCCUGGUGUAGGGGUGAAAUCUGUAGAUAUCAGGAAGAACACCGGUGGCGAAGGCGGCUUACUGGACGAGUACUGACGCUCAGGUGCGAAAGCGUGGGGAGCAAACA
rnacentral:rRNA from 1 species